AAUGCACAGAGUUGCAUUUUACUCACAGCCAGCUGUGUACUCUUCCAUUGCACUACUGGCGGGAAUCUUCCCUUUUCAGUUCAAGGCUGCUGUGAAUCACAAUGUAUAAACAUUCUUCUGCAUCAUCUCUUAGUGCCUAAGGAUGUAGGAGGAAGUGGAAAUGUGGAUUACUGUUUUAUGAGUUCCAUGCUGCAGAUUUCAUUUAGGAGCAGGGGCCCUUUGUCAGGUGCAUGUGCUGGGAAUGACUUUCCCAAGUCUUUGGCUUGGCUUUUCACUCUCUUGACAGUGUCUACUCAUUAACUGUAAAUUUUAAUGUAGUUCAAAUGUUGCCUGUGAGAAGUGUUUUGGGGGCCCCGUUUCAAAAAUUUUCCACAAUUACUCUGACUCUCUUAACACACCUGCUAGAAGUUUUAUUGUUUUCCCUUUUCACGUAUAGAAUGCAGUCACAUUACCUUUGUCAAGUGCAGAGCUCACGGUUGUACGUGCUACACCUUCCCAUGACUGUCAGGGCAGUGGUUUGUUUAUACAGCACCAUCACAAACACAAGAGCAACACAGUGGACUGUGACAUUAGAUGGCUGCAUCAUUAGGUAACAGGAAUAGGUCAAAGCAUUAUAGUCUUAUGGGGCCAGCAUCAUAUAUGCAGUCCAUCACUGACUGAAAUGCUGUGAGGUACAUGACUACUACCCUUGUCUUUCCUCUUGCAAAAUUACAGAAAAACACUGAAGCCUGGGAUGACACUAUCUUCCUUCAGAGAGUUUUUAUGUUGGCUUCUGUUGGUCACCAGUGGACACUAGCACCUGCAGAUAGCUGGGCACCAGGUCUCAGGUAACAAGGUGGUUUAGAACUGAGCUGCAGUCUCUGACGGAGUGAAGUACUUCUGGCAGUGGGGAGAAGAAAGAUCAAUCAUCUUUCACAGUGAACAGCAGGGCUGCUUUAUCAAAAGUGGAAAUAGAAGCAAGAAUGAACCAGGGAAAGGAACUGGUCAGCAGCAACAGCCUAGCGGCAGCCCUGUAACUACCAGGUCAAGUCCCCAGGACCACGGGGUGGUUGUGACAGAGAAUGGAAGCAGGGAACAUGGGAGAGACUUUGCCUAGGACCUCAGUAAGGGUGUUCAAAGCCUGGGAAGGACAGUCCUUUGAUUAGCUGACCUAUUGCAGGUGGGCUCCUGUCCCAUGAAAGGGAAUCAAGUGGUCAGCAAGCUGGAAGUCCAGAGAAACAAAGUGGAUGUUUUGGUUAAAUGUCUUUGAGUAAUUCCAGCUAAAACACUCUGUGCUUUUAUGAAAACAGCAAGCCUGAUGAGGUCUGUUUUGCAUCCAAAAGAAGAUCCUCGGGCUUCUUCAAGAAAAGGAUUGAAUUGGAUACACCGAAUCAGCCUGCUGCAGACAGGCAGGUCUGUGCACGCCCUACCGAGGUCCUGAGUCGCACGGAAGAUGCCGAAUCACCCCACUGCAGACAGGCAGCCACCUGGUUCCACACUACAAAGACACAGAGGACACCAGACCACCAGACCAAGGUACUGAGUCCCGCUGCUUCCGGCCCAGAGGUAGGGGCUUCUGAGGCACUGUCUCACUGCUCCUGGUCCACAGGAAGGGGCUUCCCGGUCACCAUCCCUCCCGCUGCUCCCAGCCCAGAGGAAAGGGCUUUUGGGCCACCUUCUGUCCCGCUGCUCCUGGCCCAGAGGAAGGGGCUUCCAGGCCACCAUCCCUCCCACAGCUCCCGGCCCAGAGGUAGGGGCUUCUGAGCCGCCAUCCCACUGCUCCUGGUCCAGAGGAAGAGGCUUCCCGGCCACCAUCCCUUCCGCUGCUCCCAGCCCACAGGAAAGGGCUUUUGGGUCACCAUCCCCACCGCUGCACCUGGCCCCUGGCCCACCUCUCCCAGCUCAGAGGAGGUAAUCCGUGCAGGCUCUAACAGCCCCCCACCCCAGUUCUGCUUGCCAAUGGGCUCCUGUAGCAGUGUAUACUAGAAAAACAGAUGUAAUACAAGAUAUGCAAACACAUAAGGAUUUACAGAUUGGUGUAAAAUGGCCACCCACAGAGUCAGCCGUGGAAGCGUGCAAAAGGGCCCUUUGAGCACUGGGGAUCUGAAGGAUCCAGUCGAAAGCCUGGAGCUCCGUGUAGAGUCCUGUGCAAAUCCCUAUCAGGAGGCCGAAGGGUCUGCAAUGGAAGGCUAAGGAUCUGUGCUGGGAGCCAGAGGAUGACGUCCAAGGUGAAAGUGAAGACUGGGGCUCCUUCAAAGGAGACAGAAGCAAUCCUUCCUUCUUUUCCCUUGUAUGGCAUUCCUGCGAUAAUCCUUCCUAGGGUGUGUUUUCCCCACCCAGAACUAUGCUGAGCCAAUUUUGUUGAGUGUUUCUUACUGAAGUUGACACAAUCAACUAUCAUAACCCUGAAUGUUAUAUUACCAGUAUGGCAGACAGGAUGUGGCUAAUGGUAUAGUAGUGGUACUUAUGCUGAUUGAACCUUGUGCUCACUUCAAGGGAGAGGUCCCACAACUGGUACUGUAAUCCAGGACAAAAGCCUGUGGCUGGGGAAGUCAUAGGCCCCAGGAGCAAAGCCUCUGCUGCUGUUUUGUUAAAUGGGUAUGAUGUGUCAAUGAAACUGCCACCUAAACAUUUGUGUCUGCACCCACAUUACUGUCAUUGCUGGCCACAGCUGAGGGGGACCUCUUUUUGCAGUGGGCCGUGACCAUAGUGGCAACCCACAGUAAGUUCAGCUUUUGGGUAUAUAGUGAACUUCUCCUCUCCAGUCAAGCAGUCAUGCUCUGGAAUGUGCUGCCCUUUUCCCUUCAAACUAGAAUAACUUUUUGGGGACCCCAGAACCAAGAGGGGGGCCUUCCUUUAAGUAAUAUAAGUAAGAGAACAUGUAAAUGAAUCCUGGCCUGUGCACACUUAGUUGGAGACAUGGGCUCUUGAUUGAAGUUUGUGUUAUUCUAGGAGUGCACCUGCUGGUGCAGUCUGCACUGUGGCUGUGUCCUAACAAUCCAGUGCUCAACUCUCAGUCAAAGGAGAUAAUGUUGCCCAGUCAGGAAAAGGCUCAGGAAAUGGCAGGGAGGGGACAGAAAGAUUGUCAGACCUGAAGAAAGAGAUGAAGUGUAGUGAGAAUUGGCCUCUGAACUCCUGCUAAAGUAACUCAUCUUGUAGAGCACCCCGUCCCCUGGCAGGUGCCAAGGCUGGGUGCCAGACUGCACCAUAACAAGGGGCUCAUCACUGCUGGUAGAUAGAGCUUACUGAGACAGGCAGAGUUUCUUGAUAAGGAUGAAAUGGGGGGGUUACACACAGCGUUUCCCAAGGACACUUCUUGCUUUUCAUCCUGCUUUUGUCAUUUUCAUUAGUCCCCUAUAAAACCAGUACCCUACCACAGAGAGGUGGGCGACUUCAGUAGUGCUAUAGCCCACAAAUCAUCCACCAUCUGUGAAUAACCCCUAAUAAAUUCAUUUACCCAUUUAUUAUC
rnacentral:lncRNA from 1 species